GGCGCCGUCGGAUCCCAGAGCGGCUGGUGCAAGCUUAAAGUGUUGCUGCCAGACCUUUCUUCUCUUCUAAUUUACCAAGUGAAGAAUGUUGAAAUAUCCAACUAUAAUUUGUGGAUUUCUCCUUUCAAUGCUAUCAUUUUUGGUGCUUCAUGUAUUUUUGAAGCUCUAUUAUUAGCCUCUCUUGAACCUUCACAGUCCAGCCGAGCUGCCAUCUCUUCAAGGAAGUUUUCCCUGAAGCCCUCAGGUAGACCCGUUUUUCCAUGGCGGCCACAUCAGCAUGCAGCACAUUUAAUUGGAAGUCUCCACAUAUGAGUUGGUUUUCCUUACUUAAAAUAUGCUUAUCAUCCCUUGGAGGUAUUGACUGCUGCCUCAUGAAGGCUGGUCCUGUCUCUAUAGUGAAUAUUGUGCACCUCAGGGUAGAAUGGAGAGCAGAAGACUUCAAAUCAGGCAGUCUGGGUUCAGACCCCAAUUCUAGUGCUAAAUAGCUACGUGACUUUAGGCCGAUUGUGUGUGACUUCCCUGAGCCCCAGUCUCUUUGCCUGCAAAAUGAGAAAAAUUAUAACAAUGUCAUCGGUUGUUCUGAGGAUUCUGAGAGGAAUUAGUAGGAGAGAGAACUAAGAAGCUGCGGGCCUCUACAGAGCCAUUCAACUGGCAUUUCGGAAGAUGUUGCCCAUCAGAGUCAGACCUUCUUAGCAUCUUCCGGCUGGGCCCAAACUUCCCAAGACCAUUUGGACAAGGUCAUCUCUAUCCCACCAUGGCCUCCUCCCAGAGGAGGA
rnacentral:lncRNA from 10 species